rnacentral:misc_RNA from 1 species
CAGAGUUUGUUGGCCGUCGACUGUCGCCGGCGCUGCCGUGCACGUCGAUCUGGCCUUCCCUCUAAUUUCCACAUCACACUUGUGCACACGGAUUGAGGUGGGGGGUCUCUCCCUCCAUCUCUUCUCACAUUAGCCGUCUUGUUUAAUGCAUGUUUGUAAUUUUGGAUUUAAUA